UCGAGGAUCUUCGGCAAUGGGCGCAAGCCUGACCGAGCGACGCCGCGUGUGCGAUGAAGGCCUUCGGGUUGUAAAGCACUGUCGAGGGGGAGGAAGCUCCGCAAGGAGUUGACCUAUCCCUGGAGGAAGCACGGGCUAAGUUCGUGCCAGCAGCCGCGGUAAGACGAACCGUGCAAACGUUGUUCGGAAUCACUGGGCUUAAAGGGCGCGUAGGCGGUCGGUCAAGUCUGGGGUGAAAUCUUUCGGCUCAACCGGAAAAGUGCCCCGGAUACGGAUCGGCUGGAGGGAGGUAGGGGUCGACGGAACUUCCGGUGGAGCGGUGAAAUGCGUAGAUAUCGGAAGGAACACCGGUGGCGAAAGCGGUCGACUGGACCUUUUCUGACGCUGAGGCGCGAAAGCCAGGGGAGCAAACGGGAUUAGAUACCCGCGUAGUCC
rnacentral:rRNA from 1 species